GAUGAACGCUGGCGGCGUGCCUAAUACAUGCAAGUCGAGCGAACAGACGAGGAGCUUGCUCCUUUGACGUUAGCGGCGGACGGGUGAGUAACACGUGGAUAACCUACCUAUAAGACUGGGAUAACUUCGGGAAACCGGAGCUAAUACCGGAUAACAUGUUGAACCGCAUGGUUCAACAGUGAAAGACGGUUUUGCUGUCACUUAUAGAUGGAUCCGCGCCGCAUUAGCUAGUUGGUAAGGUAACGGCUUACCAAGGCAACGAUGCGUAGCCGACCUGAGAGGGUGAUCGGCCACACUGGAACUGAGACACGGUCCAGACUCCUACGGGAGGCAGCAGUAGGGAAUCUUCCGCAAUGGGCGAAAGCCUGACGGAGCAACGCCGCGUGAGUGAAGAAGGUCUUCGGAUCGUAAAACUCUGUUAUUAGGGAAGAACAAAUGUGUAAGUAACUAUGCGCGUCUUGACGGUACCUAAUCAGAAAGCCACGGCUAACUACGUG
rnacentral:rRNA from 1 species